rnacentral:miRNA from 1 species
CAACUAUUGAUCGGGCAGGACAA